rnacentral:rRNA from 1 species
UACGUAGGGUGCAAGCGUUAAUCGGAAUUACUGGGCGUAAAGCGUGCGCAGGCGGCUUUGCAAGACAGAUGUGAAAUCCCCGGGCUUAACCUGGGAGCUGCAUUUGUGACUGCAUGGCUGGAGUGCGGGAGAGGGGGAUGGAAUUCCGCGUGUAGCAGUGAAAUGCGUAGAUAUGCGGAGGAACACCGAUGGCGAAGGCAAUCCCCUGGGCCUGCACUGACGCUCAUGCACGAAAGCGUGGGGAGCAAACAGG